rnacentral:pre_miRNA from 1 species
GCUCUCAAAGUUGAGCUUCUCGAGUGGGAGAAGUCUUAGCGAAGGAGAGCUU